CGGCUUUCUUCUCGUCUGUAUUCCCGGCUGCUAUAGAGCCGGGUUAGAGAGCGAGCGCCCGUCCGCGGGCGUCGAGGGCGGGUUGCCUCGCGCUGACCCUUCCCGCCCUCGUUACACACCAGGUCCCCGCGGAAGCGGCGGUGUCGGCGCCAUGGCGGAGCUGACGGCUCUUGAGAGUCUCAUCGAGAUGGGCUUCCCCAGGGGACGCGCGGAGAAGGCUCUGGCCCUCACAGGGAACCAGGGCAUCGAGGCUGCGAUGGACUGGCUGAUGGAGCACGAAGACGACCCAGAUGUGGACGAGCCUCUAGAGACUCCCCUUGGACAUAUCCUGGGACGGGAGCCCACUUCCUCAGAGCAAGGCGGCCUUGAAGGAUCUGGUUCUGCUGCCGGAGAAGGCAAACCCGUUUUGAGUGAAGAGGAAAGACAGGAACAGACUAAGAGGAUGUUGGAGCUGGUGGCCCAGAAGCAGCGGGAGCGUGAAGAGAGAGAGGAACGGGAGGCAUUGGAACGGGAACGGCAGCGCAGGAGACAAGGGCAAGAGUUGUCAGCAGCACGACAGCGGCUACAGGAAGAUGAGAUGCGCCGGGCUGCUGAGGAGAGGCGGAGGGAAAAGGCCGAGGAGUUAGCAGCCAGACAAAGAGUUAGAGAAAAGAUCGAGAGGGACAAAGCAGAGAGAGCCAAGAAGCCAGGAGCCUCCCAACAAGCGGGAGUAUGACCAGUGUCGCAUACAGGUCAGGCUGCCAGAUGGGACCUCACU
rnacentral:sRNA from 1 species